AAAGGACUGCAUGUGUCGUUCAGAAAGAACAUUUCUUUGCAAGGCCUGUUUCUGUUCUAACCAGAAAAGUAAUGUCACCUUUUUACAGGGGGACACGGACUUGAGGUGUUAAAUGACUUAUUUAAUGAUACCCAGGCCUCUUGAUCAGGCACUCCACGGGCCAGGUGACCGACUGCCAGAGCACCUCUGAAUGUCCCUCCUCCUUCCCAAACCCCAGGACCUAACUGGAGCUCAGGGUCCUUUAAAUUUCACAAAAAGGGGCCAGCUAAUUACGCAGCAGGAUCAUCAUGCGUGUAGCUCGAUCGCGGGUCCUGUCGAUCAUUCCAAAUACUUUCACAGUGUUCUAUAUUUACACCAAAAUGGAGGCAAACGUCACAGUAUGGCGUUAUCACAGGAAAUGAAUGAAUCUGUCAAAAAUCACUCUUUACUGAGUAACUCCUUUAACCCGAGUCAGGAAAGUCUAUCACAGUGGGAAGCUGUGCUCUGGAUGAUGUAUCCUGAUGAAAAGUUGGUACUGGUGCAAAUGCCAUGUUUAAAACUUCUGGGUAUUAAUAGUAACUUCGCGUUCUGUGUGAAGUGCAGGGGGGUGGCCUGCCCUGAGUGGCCACAUACAUGUUUAUUAGUUUGUAACCUUCCCCGGCGGCGGUCCAUCAUCACGGCAAAAAAUUGCAACCUGUCAGUGCCUGCGGACAGUCACGUUAAAAAUGGCUUUGAGGGAGAGAUGGCUCAUGCGGUCAGGCAUUUUGGUGUCACACUCAAUUGGCUAAACAUAGUCAUUUUGAGUUCUAUUAUUGACUAAUUUGGGUAAUUCACCUACUGGGAAAUAUUUAAAGAUAAAAAUGUAAAAUCCUGUUGGUUCACGAGUAAGGUCUUUGAUGUCAGUUUUGUGACAUAUUUUUAAACACUGGAAGCUAUUCUGCAGGAAUAGUCUGGCGUGUUGUAGUUAAGUAAAACAAUGUGGGGAGCCCAUCAGCUGUCUGUCUGCCCAUCUUCCUGCGCUCACGGAGGCUCCGAUCAGGGCAGCUAUUUUAUACCUGGGCGGUUCCAGUUUAAUAGAGAAUGCCAUUAACAAGCGUGCCGGAGUGUGUCCCUGUCUGGAGCCUUGAUUAGCCAUCAGCAUGCUCGCGAGCUCGUUUCUUGAUUGGUGUGGAAAUGUGUCACACCCUGAUGAAGCGUGGCAGGCCGUCACCGCUGAUGGAUUAAUGACAGCACCUGCCACCCGGCCUCACCCACGACAGCAGCCAUCCAGAGGAAAGAGUUUGGAGCUGUGUCUGCAGGAGGCCUGGGAGUGGUGAGGUGGGUGGCUUCCAGAAGUCUGCGUGGGCAGAAGUGGAAAGGAACAGAGUCACCUGGGACAGGCUGCUGUGUCUUUUCCUGUCCCCUGCAUGUAGCUCUGGGAGCUUGAGGCCCGUGUAGCCCUAGAAAUGUUUUUGAGGUGUUUAGGGUCUGACGCGGGCAUAGGAUUUUUCUAGUUUGACCCAACGUCCAUCUGUUUUGCCUGGCAUUCCAUAAUUGCUUUAACCUGUCUUAUGAGGGGCAUACAUGUCCCGUCUCCUCUAUGUACCCACACCAACAAUGACCACACACUGACUGUGUGCAGCCAGCAUUGCCAGAGUGCAUCUGGGUUAUAAUUCUCUUUGGGUCAAGAAGGGCAGCCUUCUCUUCCUCCCACACCCCUCACACAUAUUAUAUUAUGUUACCUGGGCUGAGAUUCACGCUCAGUACAAACAGGAAUGUGUGGCUGAGUUUGGGUGAUGAGACCCCUCUCGCGCUCAAACCCAGGAGCUCAGGAUACCAUGGAGCUUUCACAAGAUGCAAGGAAUGGUCUCAGGGAUUUGGCUCCCCUAACAGAACUGACCCUCCAAAUACUUUUUGGUAUUCAGUUUCCAAAUGUCCCACUUUCCCCUUAGGGCACCUCUCCAGACAGUCCAUGAAAAGCUCUGUGCUCCUUCUCUGAGCCCAGGCUUGAGACAGGCUGGGCUCUGGGUUCUGUCCCUGACUCUGGUGCUAACUAAAGGUAUGACCUUGCUUGGGCAAAUGUCUUCCCCUCUUUGGGCCUUGGCUUCCCCCUUGUGCACAACAAGGGGCUUGGAACAAAUGAGCAGUUCUUUGAGUUAACAAUUAUGAAUAUUCACCUCUCCCCAGUGUAAGCCUGCACUUGGCACAUGUGUGCAAGUGCGUGCACACGCGCACACACACACACGCACACACAUGCACACACACACGCUCAGCUGGUCCUGAUCCCUCACUGAUGAACUGAAGAACUAUCCUCCCCAUGUGAGCCCCUUCUAUGCAGCCCUGGAGUGGUGGCUGCUGGCACGGGGGUCUGGGCCCCCACAUGUCCUGCCGAGGUGUGCUUCUUGCCAGGUAAACCGCUGUCCGGCCCUGAAGGAUAGAGCAGGCUCCAAAUGUGGGCUCUCGCUGUCCUAUAUUAUUGGGGUUGUUUGAUUUAGAAGUAUCAUAACUGCCCCUCAACAGUUUAGAAAAUAGAGAUGAGAAGAAGGAAAUCAACAGCUACCACCCUCAUUUUGUAAGUUUCCUUCUCAUGACUUUUCAAAUGGGUAUAAUUUUUUCAUGCUUGUACUAGGCACCUGAUACAUAUUCACUACUUGAGUCUUUGCAACAAUCCUUCUGGGGACGAAUGAACAGAUCCCGUUUUAUGAAAGAGAAAACUGGGGUUGAGUGGGUUGUUGAGGGUACUCAGCUGCUAGGAUUCAAGUCCCGGCCUUGUGAUCCCAGACUCUCCCCCGCCCUCUGUUCUCAAAUACCACCCGUAUGAGAAUCACCUGGAAGGCUGGUCAGAACAUAAAUAAGGAGGCCCACCUCGACAGCUCGGAUUCAGUUGAGAUUCUGCCUCUCUAACAAACUCCCACAUGAUGCUGCUACUGCUGCUGGCCCGUGAACCACACUUUGAAAACCAGUGUACUGUUCUCUGCUUCUUUACAUAGACCUAGUUCCUGGUUUCCUACUCCUUCAGAAAGCACUGCCCUAGGUGGCUGUUUAACUUCGCAAACAUCACUUUCUAUAGCUGCAUGGUAUGCUGCGUGUUCUUUAAAAGAAACCUGUUGAUUAUCUGAUGCUUUAGAAUUCAUAAACCAUGCCUUCUUCAGCUCAGAACCCUGGAAAACCCCACACAGUUGCGUCCCUCCCUGAGAAGGGCUCUUGGGGCCCUCAAGCUGGUGCAAAAGUGACAGUACUUUGGGUCAUUACAUCAGCGCCCAAUGCCAUUUCCAGUUAGCUAAAUCCAACCCAUUAUUCAAAGCACAAUUCAGCCUUCACCUCCACCAGGCAGCCUACCUUGCAUAUACCAAACCAUAGGGAUCUCUUUGCUGAGAACAGUAACAUGCUGCUGUGGUUGAUGGCCUAGGUUAGAGCCUGGGAAUGAAUUUUGUCUCUUCUAAAAAGUGACCCUCAGGGGGCCUGGGUGGCUCAGUCGGUUAGGCGGCCGACUUCGGCUCAGGUCAUGAUCUCACGGUCCAUGAGUUCGAGCCCCGCAUCAGGCUCUGUGCUGACAGCUCGGAGCCUGGAGCCUGUUUCGGAUUCUGUGUCUCCCUGUCUCUGACCCUCCCCUGUUCAUGCUCUGUCUCUCCCUGUCUCAAAAAUAAAUAAAACGUUAAAAUUGUUUUUUAAAUAAAAAGUGACCUUCAAAUCCCAGAGCCACAGACCAUCAGCCCUGCAAAUCCCUUGGAGGAUGUUUGGUCUGGACUCCUCAUUGUAUAGAUGAUGAAACUGAGGCCCAGAGGCAAAGAGAAUUGUUCCUGGUCACACACAGAACUGUCCCUGUAAAACUCCAUUUUGAAUUAACUCAUUACAACUCUGGAUUUGUUUUUUGACCUUACAACCUAUUUACAAUUACCUCUUAAAAUGACUUCCUAGAGGUGCCUGAGUAGCCUCGUCAGUUAAGCGUCCAACUCUUGAUUUCGCCUCAGAUCAUAAUCUCACCAUUUGUGAGGUCAAGCCCCGAGUCGGUCUCUAUGCUGACAGCACAGAACCUGCUUGGGAUUCUCUCUCUCCCUCUCUCUCUGCCCCUCUCCCAUGGGCUUGUGUGCACACACUCGCAUGUGCACACAUUCUCUCUCAAAAUAAAUAAACUUUAAAAUAAAAUAAAUAAAAUAAAAUAAAAUAAAAUAAAAUAAAAUAAAAUAAAAUAAAAUGACUUUCUAGAUACAGACUUGAGAAGCAUACAGACUUGAGACAGUGGUUUAGCAGCUAUCCCUCCCCACCUGCCAUGCAACCUGGGGAGGCUUCUGGAGAACCACUGCCACAGUAUUGCCUAAAGGCUUUCUAGCACCUGUGUGGGUAGCUGCUGGAGAAGGCACCAGAUUUUGGAUUCUGUUCCAAACAGUUACAAGGGGUCCCCUGGAGCCAAGACACCCUUGGCUCUUCUGACCCUCCAGGGGCCAGAGUUGGGUUUACAGGUGCCCUGGAGUUUGCAGAUGGGUCCUUUUUGUAAACGUGUGUGAUCUGUGUGCACAGCCCAGGGUGGAGAGCCGCAAUGGGGUGAAUAAUGUGGAAGAAAGCCACAGCUGGUCUUUCUCCGUGGGAGGGAAAUAUGCCUGGAGGCUUCUGUUUUUAUUAUCUAACAAGUGUAUUUUCUCUGAAGCGGGCUCAAAAUGGGGUGAGAAUAAUUACUCCCUGCAGCCCCACCACCACCUCCUCUUGGGGGACCACUACGAAGGGCUCCUGGCUGGUCUUGCCCCCCUUCACCAGCAGCAAUUUCUCUGUUGGUGCCAUGAAUACAGAUGGUGGAAGAUUAUUCUUCAUUUCAAACUGACCCUUUUUCUUAUUACAAAAACAAUAUAUGUUCAUUAUUUAAAAAAUCAGAAAAUAGGAACAAAAAAGAAGUGAAUGAAAAUACUUCGUUAUACCACCUACCCCAAAGAUAACCACACUAUAAAACUAUAGGUAUCAAUUCCAGAUUAUCUUUUCUCUUUUUCCUCAUUCUUUCAUUUAAGGUUUUUAUGGAUGUAUAAACAUGCUAUUUAGUGUUACAGGGUGUGGUUUUUUUUCACCAUAAGUGAAAUCAUGCUUAUGCAUAUCAUAACCUGUUUUUUUUUUCACUUAGAGUAUCUCAGGCAGCUUUCCACGUCAGUGCUUGAAUAUCUAACUCAUCCUUGUUAAAUAGCAUUCAAUAAUUCAUAAUGCUAAAGCAUUGAUUUAUGCAGUCCUCUUUUGUUGGCUAUUUAAAUUAUUUUCAAACUUUCCUUGUGAACAAUGCACACAUCUUUGUGUACUGCCCAGUUACCUCAUUAGUUCAUUGGCUAUUUUUUAAAUGGUGAACCUUCUUUAUUCAUCCAUUCAAGCAGAUAUUUACCAAACUCCUGCUAAGGACCAGCCAUUGUGCACAUGCUGGGGCUACGAUAUUGCACAGGAGGACCAGAUCCCUACCUUUGCACUUCCAGAAAGGGCACGCGGUUCGUAAAUAAGAAAUAAGUAAAUUUUAAAAACCACUGCAGCUUGUGGGAACUGCUCUACUAAACCGACAGGGUGAUGUGUUGGAGGGAUUGAGAGAGGAGGCCGGGCCGCUUCCGUGGAUGGGAGGUCAGAGGAAGACUCUCUGAGGAGGUGUGUUUGAACAAGACCUGCAAGAGAAAAAGCCAGGGCUGAGCAAGAUGAACAGGGACUGAGGCAGGAGGAGCUGGUAUGGCUGAGGAAUGGAAAGGAGCCAGGGGAUAACAGGCUGAAGAAGAGGCUGGAGAAGGGGGAGGGACCAGAGCCCUUGGGACCCCAUGGGCUGCAGUCACUAUGUAGAUUUCAUUCUGGGAACCAUGUGACAUGGCGGUGGCAGGGUUGGGGGGAAGAAGGGACAGGAAAGGCAUUGAGAUUUAUUUGGAGCUGGAACCUACAGGGUGUUGAGGAGGAUGUAGGGGGAUGGGGCAAGGAAAGAGAAAAAUCAAAGGAGACUUCUGGGUUCAUCCUGAGGAGCCCGGUGCUGCCUCCUUGACAAUUUCUGGAGUGAGUGCCCCAACCCGUCCAGGGAAAGCCUCCUUCCCCCUGGCCAGCACCCUCAGCAGGGAGAGUGCCCGUGGAUGUGCCCACAUUUUCCUCUUCUGCAAAGUCUCUCUAGCCCCUUGGAGGAUGGACGUCUAUGCUAGUCCUGAGUCUCCAACAGCAGAAGGGUUAGCUCUGUGACAAGAAAAUCCUACAAAGCAUGUACUUAAAUCUCUUUACAAAGCUGCCAGGACACCUGAGUUAUGGGGACUAGAGAUCCAUUAGGAUGUUGCCCUGGAUCCUGUUGUUCCAAAACUCCCUCCCCUAGGAGGGAGUGUGGGGCUGGGGGAGUGGGGGUGCAGAGUGGAGGCCAGAAGCCAUUUGCAGUGCUGUCUUGGGUGCCCGGGCACCCAGAGGAUUAGGACAGGGAAUAGCCUGCAUCCCUGGCAGUAGCUAGGAAGAGAAGGGCGCCGAUAGGAGGCACCUCACAGAGGCAAAUAGAUUCCCAGUCUGAUUUCACAAACUAAUAAUGGGAUCUUUUCACAAAGUGAAAAAUGUCCAGUAAAUGUUCUCCGUCUCAGAGGUUGUCUGUGGUGGGGUGUGUGUGAGUGUGUAGUCUUUUAAAUAAGCCAGGCCUGUGGCUCAUGUUCCAAACUCUGUGCUUUGACAAGGCAACGAGCCAUGGUUUUGUUCUGUGGGAGAGCAAGGCUUGUCCACCCCUUGCGGUCAGGUGAGGGCACCAAUCAAGAAUACAGCCCUAAUUGGAACUUCAGGCAGUCGUAACGUAUAGUUCUGGAGUGGACUGAACUUCUCCUGAUUUUGUGCUUGGGCCUUUUAGACAGGAAGGAAGAAAGAGAGUAAUGGAGAGAUUGAGAUUCCUUCCCCCAGGCCAUUUCUGGUGAACCAGUUACUGGGGUUUUAUACACAUUUUUACAAAAGGACAAAUAUGUGGGUCAGAUGAAGUGGCUUUGCAGGGGGCUGGGUUUUGACAUGCUGUAAAUAGUUGUCCAUAAUGGGGUGAGACUGGCUACGCUGAGCCAUUACUGUGAUUAAAUCCCCAGCCUCCUCGGGGCCCAUUGGCUACCGGUCAGGCUGUGAGCCGCACACAAAUGCUCUGUCGUCAUGUGGCCUGUGCCUGUCAAGGCCUGGGGCAGGAGUAGCCGGUGUCCGUGGAAAUGGGCUGAGGGAGGAUCUGGGAAGCAGAGAGGAAGUCCAGGCUGGGGCUGGCUGAGGGGACUUAGUGGUGUUGUCAUAAGCAAGCCCCAUCCCCUGCCUUCACAUCGUCCCAUAGCUCAAUGCAGGCCAGUGUGAGGUAGAAGCUGAGUGUGAUGGAAGGAUGAGGACAUGAUUAACUCACUGGGGAAAGCACCCCAAAGGUGGCAGCAUUUCAGUGUGGCCUUGGGAAUGGGGCAUGUCAACAGCUAUGGCAGAAUGGUGAGGUGCCUUCUGGGUAGUGGGAACCGCAUGCCCAAUGGCAUAGAGGCAUGAAUGCAUGGUGAGCAGUGAAGGCACAGAAUGCAAGGCACCAAGGGCAGCCCAGAGAAAAGCAGAUGAGUCGCAGGUGUGGAUCUGCUGGGCGGCUCUCGUCGCUAGCUGUACAAAGCCACAGGUGUGCGUUGAGCGCUGCGAAGCAGGAAGAGGAGCCUUGAUGAUUUUGAGGGUCUCGGGUCAAGUUAGUUACCUGCAGACCUGAAAAUGCUUUGGAGAUGCAGCCAGCCUUCCACAGCCAUGGGGAAAAUGAGAGUGAUUUCUGCUGUUUGCUGUUGGGGCACCAUUUAAGUCCAUGUCUUGCUAGGUCAACAUUUUCAUGCCCGGAGCUAUAAAUUAAAAAUAUGCCUUAGA